rnacentral:misc_RNA from 1 species
UCUCCGUUGGUGAACCAGCGGAGGGAUCAUUGCUGGAACAAACGCCCUCACGGGUGCUACCCAGAAACCCUUUGUGAAUUAUUCUCUAUAACUGUUGCCUCGGCGGGCCUCUGGGAUUCGUCCCAUGUCCGCCGGCGGCCCCUAUAAACUCUGUUACUUAUAAGCAAUCUGAGCGUUUUCCAAAAAUAAAGUUAAAACUUUCAACAACGGAUCUCUUGGUUCUGGCAUCGAUGAAGAACGCAGC